AUUGAACGCUGGCGGCAUGCCUUACACAUGCAGGUCGAACGGCAGCAUGAUCUAGCUUGCUAGAUUGAUGGCGAGUGGCGAACGGGUGAGUAAUACAUCGGAACGUGCCCUGUAGUGGGGGAUAACUAGUCGAAAGAUUAGCUAAUACCGCAUACGACCUGAGGGUGAAAGUGGGGGACCGCAAGGCCUCAUGCUAUAGGAGCGGCCGAUGUCUGAUUAGCUAGUUGGUGAGGUAAAGGCUCACCAAGGCGACGAUCAGUAGCUGGUCUGAGAGGACGAUCAGCCACACUGGGACUGAGACACGGCCCAGACUCCUACGGGAGGCAGCAGUGGGGAAUUUUGGACAAUGGGCGAAAGCCUGAUCCAGCAAUGCCGCGUGUGUGAAGAAGGCCUUCGGGUUGUAAAGCACUUUUGUCCGGAAAGAAAUGGCUCUGGUUAAUACCUGGGGUCGAUGACGGUACCGGAAGAAUAAGAACCGGCUAACUACGUG
rnacentral:rRNA from 1 species